CCUACGGGUGGCAGCAGUGAGGAAUAUUGGGCAAUGGACGCUAGUCUGACCCAGCAACGCCGCGUGAAGGAUGAAGGCUCUCGGGUUUUAGACUUCCUUUAAGGGGGAAGUGCAGAAGACGGUAUCCCUUGAAUAAGCCAUGGCUAACUACGUGCCAGCAGCUGCGGCAAUACGGAGGUGGCAAGCGUUAGCCGGAUUUACUGGGUGUACAGGGCGUGCAGCCGGGGAGACAAGUCAGUUGUGAAAGCCAGGGGCUCAACCCGAGAACUGCAGUUGAAACUGGUUCCCUUGAGUGUCGGAGAGGUAAGCGGAAUUCGUUGUGUAGCGGUGAAAUGCGUAGAUAUAAGGAAGAACACCAGUGGCGAAGGCAGAUUACUGGACGAUAACUGACGGUGAGGCGCGAAAGCGUGGGGAGCAAACAGGAUUAGAUACCCGGGUAGUC
rnacentral:rRNA from 1 species